rnacentral:lncRNA from 1 species
CAGGAACUCACUCUGUGGUCUGCUGAGACACCAAGGAGAGCUUCAGGGGGCCAGCAGAUUGCCUCGCCGCCUCUGUGGAUCUGGAUGACUGUGGAGCAUCUGGGCCACCAAUGAUUCUCAUUAAACCGCGGUUCAUUUGGGGGUAGAUGCUGAGCAACCCAAUCAUAUCUUUCAUGUGGAUAUAGUAAUCAUGUAUCCUGUUCGAUCCAACCGCCUCUUAUGACAGUGCUAGGUAGUACUGUGUCUGUUUCCUAAACAUGAAGGAGGGAUGUUACCGCUAAGACUGACCUACAUUAUUGGAGGCUGAUUACAGACAAGGGCUGUCUAUAGUGACAGAGGACCUGGUAGCUGUUCAUUCCAGGCACCUGGCAUCCUGGUAACAAUGAGGUCCAAUGAUGCAUACCCAGUCUAAGGCUGAAGGUCCAGAAGCUCCAUGAAGAGUCAUUGGUGUGUGUGUGGAUUGACAGACUGAAAAAGCUGGAGUCUGAUGACUUUAAGCAGUGACUGCAGGAAUAUUACAUAUUCAGGAAGAAUGGAGCUUUGUCUACUGGCUGACCUUUUCCCAUUCAUUCAUACUUCACCCAGG